CGGUGUCGAAAUGUUUCGGCAGUCCACAAGCCGCUGGUUGGUCUCCAUCGAAAAAUGCUUAUGCAGCAGAAUGACCCCAUACCGUUCAUGCAUUCCGGAGUCGAGGAAAAGCUGUCUUAUAGGACCCUGUAAGAGGUCCUUCGCCUGCGUUUCCUUAAAUAGGUUGGCAGCCCCCUGAAGGGAUGGCAGCGAUUCGUAAGCUUCAGGGAUAUAGGGGGCCGUACUACAGUCAACAAAAGCUUAAGUUACCAAAUGCAAAGGAAGGAUGGUUACAUCUUUGACGGGCGUAAACGAGUUUGAUUGGUUGAGGUGCUGUUUUGUAAGGGUUGGAUUUAGGGA
rnacentral:sRNA from 1 species